rnacentral:rRNA from 1 species
AUUGAACGCUGGCGGCAGGCCUAACACAUGCAAGUCGAACGAGUGGCGGACGGGUGAGUAAUGUCUGGGAAACUGCCUGAUGGAGGGGGAUAACUACUGGAAACGGUAGCUAAUACCGCAUACCAUCGGAUGUGCCCAGAUGGGAUUAGCUAGUAGGUGGGGUAAAGGCUCACCUAGGCGACGAUCCCUAGCGGGUCUGAGAGGAUGAACGGCAACACUGGAACUGAGACACGGGCCAGAGUCCUACGGGAGGCAGCAGUGGGGAAUAUUGGACAAUGGGCGGAAGCCGGAUGAAGCCAUGCCGCGUGUAUGAAGAAGGCCUUCGGGUUGUAAAGUACGUUCAGCGGGGAGGCGUUACCCGCAGAAGAAGCACCGGCUAACUCCGUGCCAGCAGCCGCGGUAAUUC